UCCAGACUCCUACGGGAGGCAGCAGUAGGGAAUAUUGCUCAAUGGGGGAAACCCUGAAGCAGCAACGCCGCGUGGAGGAUGAAGGUUUUCGGAUUGUAAACUCCUUUUGUUAGAGAAGAUAAUGACGGUAUCUAACGAAAAAGCAUCGGCUAACUCCGUGCCAGCAGCCGCGGUAAUACGGAGGAUGCGAGCGUUAUCCGGAUUUAUUGGGUUUAAAGGGUGCGUAGGCGGUCCGUUAAGUCAGCGGUAAAAUUGCGGGGCCCAACCCCGUCGAGCCGUUGAAACUGGCAGACUUGAGUUGGCGAGAAGUACGCGGGAUGCGCGGUGUAGCGGUGAAAUGCAUAGAUAUCGCGCAGAACUCCGAUUGCGAAGGCAGCGUACCGGCGCCAGACUGACGCUGAGGCACGAAAGCGUGGGGAUCGAACAGGAUUAGAUACCCCCGUAUC
rnacentral:rRNA from 1 species